rnacentral:rRNA from 1 species
GGGCCUUCGGGGGGGGCUGGUGCUCUGUGCUCUGUAAGUUGACGGUAGCACAGAGAGCUUGCUCUCGUGUGACGAGUGGCGCACGGGUGAGUAAUGUCUGGGAAACUGCCUGAUGGAGGGGGAUAACUACUGGAAACGGUAGCUAAUACCGCAUAACGUCGCAAGACCAAAGAGGGGGACCUUCGGGCCUCUUGCCAUCAGAUGUGCCCAGAUGGGAUUAGCUAGUAGGUGGGGUAACGGCUCACCUAGGCGACGAUCCCUAGCUGGUCUGAGAGGAUGACCAGCCACACUGGAACUGAGACACGGUCCAGACUCCUACGGGAGGCAGCAGUGGGGAAUAUUGCACAAUGGGCGCAAGCCUGAUGCAGCCAUGCCGCGUGUAUGAAGAAGGCCUUCGGGUUGUAAAGUACUUUCAGCGGGGAGGAAGGCGGUGAGGUUAAUAACCUCAUCGAUUGACGUUACCCGCAGAAGAAGCACCGGCUAUCUCCGUGCCAGCAGCCGCGGUAAUACGGGAGGGUGCAAGCGUUAAUCGGAAUUACUGGGCUUAAAGCGCACGGCAGGCGGUCUGUCAAGUCGAAUGUAAAAUCCCCGGGCUCAACCUGAGAACUGCUUUCGAAACUGGCAGGCUAGAGUCUUGUAGAGGGGGGGUAGAAUUUCAGGUGUAGCGGUGAAAUGCGUAGAGUUCUGGGAGAAAUACCGGUGGCGAAGGCGGCCCCCUUGAACAAAGACUGACGCUCAUGUUGCAAAAGCGUGGGAGAAGCAAACAGGAAUUAGAUUACCUCUUGUACUUCCACGCCGGUAACGAUUGUCGACUUGGAAGGUUUGUCCCCGUGAGGGCGUGGCUUCCGGAGCUAACGCGUUAAGUCGACUGCUUGGGGAGUCACGCCCGCAAGUUUAAAAACUCAAAAUGAAUUGACGGGCGUCCCCGCACAGGGCGGUGGCAGCAUGUUUGUUUAGUUCGAAUGCAUCGGGAGGAACUUAACCUAACUUCUGACAUUCAGAGAACUUACAAGAAAUGCUUUGGGGCCUCGAACCUUUGAAGACAAGGGCAGCAUGGCUUGCGGACAGCCUCGUGUGUA